CAUCACUACGCUAGAUGCAUAUCAAUAAGCGGAGGAAAAGAAACUAACUAGGAUUCCCUCAGUAACGGCGAGUGAAGCGGGAAGAGCUCAAAUUUGAAAUCUUAAAGGGUUUUACCUUGACGAAUUGUAGUUUAAAGAAGUGUUUUCUGUUGGAGUUUUCGGUAAAAGUUCUUUGGAAUAGGACAUCAUAGAGGGUGAGAAUCCCGUAUUUGACCGUUACAUUUCCAGCUGUGUGAUACACUUUCAAAGAGUCGGAUUGUUUGGGAAUGCAGUCCAAGAUGGGUGGUAAAUUUCAUCUAAAGCUAAAUAUUGGCGAGAGACCGAUAGCGAACAAGUACCGUGAGGGAAAGAUGAAAAGAACUUUGAAAAGAGAGUUAAACAGUACGUGAAAUUGUCAAAAGGGAAGCGUUUGACACCAGUGUUGUUUAGUUGAAAAUCAAUUCAAUAGUUUUUGAUUCUAAGUAGUAUUGACUUCAUCAGCUUGCUGCUUUCUUCUCAGAAAUUAUUGAAUGCACUUUUCGUUUAACAAGUCAACAUCAAUUUCUUUUGUUGUAAAAGAGUCAUUGGAAGGUGGCUUUUUCUUCGGAAAAAGUGUUUAUAGCCUUUGGCUUCUGCAAUUGGAGAGAUUGAGGUCUGCAGCGUAGAUCCUUCGGGGUUAGAUACAUUUGUGCUAAGCUAUAGUUCUUUAUAGACAACUUGUUGACUAUAAUCAAUCCUGUAACUUACUCGCUUAUGCUAUUUUACCUACGCUUAGGAUGUUGACACACGCGCGUGCUCG
rnacentral:rRNA from 1 species